rnacentral:rRNA from 1 species
ACGAACGCUGGCGGCAGGCUUAACACAUGCAAGUCGAACGCGUGUAGCAAUACACGAGUGGCGCACGGGUGAGUAACGCGUGGAUAUCUGCCUUUUGGUUCGGAAUAACUCCGGGAAACUGGAGCUAAUACCGGAUGGUUCCUACGGGAUAAAGAUUUAUCGCCAAAAGAUGAGUCCGCGUACGAUUAGCUAGUUGGUGAGGUAAUGGCUCACCAAGGCGACGAUCGUUAGCUGGUCUGAGAGGACGAUCAGCCACACUGGGACUGAGACACGGCCCAGACUCCUACGGGAGGCAGCAGUGGGGAAUAUUGGACAAUGGGGGCAACCCUGAUCCAGCCAUGCCGCGUGAGUGAUGAAGGCCUUCGGGUUGUAAAGCUCUUUUGGCGGGGACGAUGAUGACGGUACCCGCAGAAUAAGCCCCGGCUAACUUCGU